AAUAAAAUUACUCAAGUAAAAGUAAAAAGUUAAUUUUUAAAAAAAAAAGGUAAUUCAAGUAAAUGUAACUGAGUAAAUGUAAUUAGUUACCACCGAAACUCUGCCUAAAUGCAGUCAGUUUUGUUGAACAAAUGUCAAAGAAAUCCUAUUUUCUUGCUGUGAAAGAAGCGAGAAAAUAUUUCUGAAAAUGUUGCUUUCAGAAAGAUUAGAUUCGCAUCAUGUUUGGCAAAACCUGCAACCCCUCUGAUGAGCGUGACGCGCUGCGAAUCGACGUCCAGUCUGGUUUCUGCUCAGAUGUGGUGAAGGUUGCAGAAAUCCCCGAGCCCUGCGGCUCUCCAGCAUCUCUGCCGGAGUCGGCAGCGAUGCGGCGAAUGUUGGAGAGGUGAUUUCAUCAACCGCCUGCUGGGCAACAUGCUAGGGUUGCUGUCUCUCAUGGGAGAAGAACUUGUUUUUGUUGCUUUAUAUUUAUUUUCAAAACUUAUUAAGAGACUUUAAAGACUUGUUCAAACAUUUUGUGAAGCUCACCUGGACGGUGAAGCGUUUAUUUUUGUUUUUUUUAGCAGUGUAUGUAGAGGAGGAUGCAGAGGAGGCUCAGGAGAGACGGAGGACAGACUGAACAAAGCUGUGUUGAAUCGGUUUGACUGCAGAGAUGAGACGAGCCGGCUUCCAGCGGCUCUCUGCCAGUUGCUUAGUAACUGGUGUUUUCAGCUAAAGUCUACAGUCAAAAUGUCCAAAUUAAAGAGGACCUGAAGGAACAAGUGACCAACGCAAACACAUUCCUCCCAGCGGCACAUUUUGUCGGUUUGCUACAGAAAGGGACGUCAGCGGCAGCAUGGCGUCUCGCUGCUUUACUGACAUCAACAGAGGGGGCCCCCUCAGGCGACCUGCACACACUCUGCCGUAAUGGGCCUCCUCAUGGUUGGAGGUCUCCUGUCAAAUCUCGGAGCUGAAAACCCCCCCGGAGAAGAGCGAGGGUUUGAAGUCGGAAUAAAGAUUCAGACGGGGGAGAGAAAGCAGCUCUCCUCUGGGCUUUUUCUCGCAGCCAGGUGUGAACGCUGGAAGGUGGCGCGGUUCGCUUCCUGAGUGGAUGAAGACAUCAAAGUUCAAACCUAAACACAAUGGACAGAUUUCUGUUUUAUUCUCAAAGAACUCGGUUUAUUUUAGGCCUCUGGAGGACGGUCCAAAAAGAGAGAUGGGCAGAGAGCCUGGAGCGAUCUUCCUCCCUCCUCCUCCUCUUCCUCCUCCUCAGCAGGACCCAAUCUUCUCUUCGCUUGGUAAAUCUUUAGGUUUCUGAAGAUCUCCGGAGGGGGGCUUCGCUGCAAGGAAGGUGACCGAACCUUUACCUGAAAGGAACAAAAAACUGACAGAAAGUUUUACAGGAUGGUUUUCGUUUUUUUUAAUUUCCUCUCUGAGGGAGAAGGAGACUUUUCUUCCUGUCCUUAUCAGAGCCUCUGCUGAUUGAGAUCAGCAUGAUCAGGUGGAAUCGAGGAUAUGAAAUCUUAUCAAUUUGAAUUACGACUGGAUUUUAUUGUGUUAAAAGUUGAAGAAGGAUUUUUUGUAUUAUUAUUAUUAUUAUUAUUAAGUUCUGGAGUGCCUCCCGUCAAUCCCAGACGGAGAUCUCCAGCGGAUCAGAGAUGGAGUAUGAAACUAUUCAUUCAUUCAUUUAUUCAUUCGUUUAUCCACCCACCCUCCCAUCAGGGUGUCUUCAGAUUGAAGCUGUAACCAUUGAACGGUUUCUUAUUCACAUUUUUCCAUUUAAUUACAGAAGAAAUCACCGUCUCUUCACUCUCAUUAACUCAAUGUCUCUGAUUGCUGUUCAAUGGCAGUUUGUGAUUCAUAAUAUUAGCUUCUCAGGCAUGAAUCAACUGCUGUGUUUAACAAAGUCUAUAUUUUAUAUCUUUAUUUAUAAUUAAGAUUUCAUCUGUUUUAAAUUAUCUGCAAAAGUUUCAGAUAAAUUCUGUCUUAUUUGCCUCACAGAAAACUUGAUAGUGGGUAUUAAAAGUCUGUACAACCAUGUUGAAAUUUCAGCUUUUUUGAUGCAAACAUAACUUUAUUUUAUAAUCUGGGGGUGAAAAAACACCUUUUAAAUGGUGACAGGUGAUACUGAUUUUCUACCAACAUGAGUUUUUAGGUGAAAAUUAAUUCUGAAAACAGGAUUAAAACAAUUUCAGCAUUUUCAGUUAUUUAUUUAUUAUUCCCCCUUCAAGAUUUUAGUGUGUACCUAAAGUGAGAUAUUUAGGUAAGAGACUUUAAUCUCAAAAUUCUGAUUUUAAUCUCAAUAUUCUCAGUUUUUCUCUGGAAUCUGACUUUUAAUCUCAAAAUUCUGAUUUUAAUCUCAGAAUUCUCAGAUUUGAAAACUCAAUCUGGGAUUAAACUCACAAUUAUUACUUUAAAAUAAUAAAAAUUCACCUUUUUCUCAUAAUUAUCACUCUAAACUCAGAAAUCUGACAUUUUUUCCAGAAUCAGAGUUGUCCAUGAGACAAACAUGGUGUUAACACUGAAAUCUACCAAAUAAAUUUGGCACAGGCUUUCAGUGCAGCUUUACAAAUCCUUUGUUACGUGAUUAUUUUCAUUUGCUAACUGCACACACUUAAGAAUGUUUGGCUAUUUAUUUGAAUUUACACAAAAUUAGAAAUAUAAGUUGAGCUCUUAGAUAAAAGUCAAAAUUUGGGACUUAAAGUAAAAAAAUUUAUUGAUUUUUUUUGUAGGUGGCACUAACCCUCUUCCAUAUAAUCACACUAAAUAUGGAUUU